rnacentral:miRNA from 1 species
UUGUGAUGUCAUAUUAUAUGUU